rnacentral:rRNA from 1 species
CCUACGGGUGGCAGCAGUGGGGAAUAUUGCACAAUGGGGGAAACCCUGAUGCAGCGACGCCGCGUGAAGGAAGAAGUAUUUCGGUAUUUAAACUUCUAUCAGCAGGGAAGAAAAUGACGGUACCUGACUAAGAAGCCACGGCUAACUACGUGCCAGCAGCCGCGGUAAUACGUAGGGGGCAAGCGUUAUCCGGAUUUACUGGGUGUAAAGGGAGCGUAGGCGGUUCAGCAAGUCAGAAGUGAAAGCUCGGGGCUCAACCCCGGGACUGCUUUUGAAACUGUUGAACUAGAGUGCAGGAGAGGUAAGUGGAAUUCGUAGUGUAGCGGUGAAAUGCGUAGAUAUUAGGAGGAACACCAGUGGCGAAGGCGGCUUACUGGACUGUAAAUGACGCUGAGGCUCGAAAGCGUGGGGAGCAAACAGGAUUAGAUACCCCUGUAGUC